rnacentral:rRNA from 1 species
AUGCCCUGGUACCUCGGCAUGGUGUGCGUGAUGUUCACGGCCACGUUCUUCAACGUCGUCGCGUCCCGAGCCUGCGACGGGGACUGCUCCCUGGCCGGCGUCCUCUCUGAGAUCUCGGACUACUCCGAGACGCUCUCCCUGCUUCUCUUAGCGCCGGCGUUUGUGCUUUUCUUCCUGCGCGCUGCCGGCUGCAGCAGUGAGGACAAGGAGGAUUUCAAUGAGCAGCCUUCUCCUUCUCUCCAUGAAAGCCUCAAGUCGCCGGCACGCUUGGCGGUUGCGGCUGCAGGGCUUUUCUGCGGAAUCAUCUCUUGGACUCUUCGGAUGUGUGGAUGUCCACAGAUUACUGACAUUCUAGGCGUUGCGGCUCUGUUCUUCCUGCACCUAUUUAUCGUCCUCUUCUACAUCAGUGCUGCACGGGCACUGUGGAGGAUGAACCGCAGGCCAGCAAUUGGCAUGGUGGCAGCGUAG